rnacentral:lncRNA from 1 species
AAAAAUAAAAGAAAUAAAAAUAAUGUCUGCCUUUUUAAAAGAAAGAGCCACAUUAAUGAUAAAUCAUUCCCAAGCUUUAAAAACAGUAUCUAUUCCCUUAGCACACGCUACCCAAACUCAGCAACUGCCAUUUCCGUUCAACCUCUAAGGAAAGCUCAGCUAGGGCAAAUAAAUCUUCCUCAAAAGUCCAACAACAUGUCACAACAUCC